CCUACGGGAGGCAGCAGUGAGGAAUAUUGGUCAAUGGGCGCAAGCCUGAACCAGCCAAGUCGCGUGAAGGAAGAAGGGUCUAUGGGUUGUAAACUUCUUUUAUAGGGGAAUAAAGUGAUGCACGUGUGCCUAUUUGCAUGUACCAUAUGAAUAAGCCUCGGCUAACUCCGGGCCAGCAGCCGCGGUAAUACGGAGGAUCCGAGCGUUAUCCGGAUUUAUUGGGUUUAAAGGGAGCGUAGAUGGUUUGUUAAGUCAGUUGUGAAAGGUUGGGGCUCAACCGUAAAAUUGCAGUUGAUACUGGCAGACUUGAGUACAGGUGAGGUAAGCGGAAUUCGUGGUGUAGCGGUGAAAUGCUUAGAUAUCACGAAGAACACCGAUUGCGAAGGCAGCUUACUAAACUGUAACUGACAUUGAGGCUCGAAAGCGUGGGGAUCAAACAGGAUUAGAUACCCCAGUAGUC
rnacentral:rRNA from 1 species